CUUUCAGCAGUGGAUGUCUAGGCUCGCACAUCGAUGAAGAACGCUGCGAACUGCGAUACGUAAUGCGAAUUGCAGGAUUCAGUGAGUCAUCGAAAUUUUGAACGCAUAUUGCACUUCCGGGUUAGUCCUGGAAGUAUGCCUGUAUCAGUGUCCGUACAACAAACUUGGCUUUCUUCCUUCCGUGUAGUCGGUGGAGGAGAUGCCAGAUGUGAAGUGUCUUGCGGUUGGUUUUCGGACCGACUGCGAGUCCUUUUAAAUGUACUAAACUGUACUUCUCUUUGCUCCAAAAGUGGUGGCAUUGCUGGUUGUGGACGCUGCUAUUGUAGCGAGUUGGCGACCGGUUUGUCUGCUGCGGCGUUAAUGGAGAAAUGCUCGAUUCGUGGUAUGGUUGGCUUCGGCUGAACAAUGCGCUUAUUGGGUGAUUUUCCUGCUGUGGCGUGAUGGACUGGUGAACCAUGGCUCUUUAGCUUGGCAUUUGAAUCGGCUUUGCUGUUGCGAAGUAGAGUGGCGGCUUCGGCUGCCGAGGGUCGAUCCAUUUGGGAAAUGUUGUGUACUUCGGUAUGCAUCUCAAUUGGACCUGAUAUCAGGCAAGAUUACCCGCUGAACUUAAGCAUAUUAAUAAGCGGAGGAAAAGAAACUAACAAGGAUUCCCCUAGUAACGGCGAGUGAAGCGGGAAGAGCUCAAGCUUAAAAUCUCCGUGCAAGUUUUGCGCGGCGAAUUGUAGUCUAUAGAGGCGUGAUCAGUGUGGGCGCUUGGGGCAAGUUCCUUGGAAGAGGACAGCAUGGAGGGUGAUACUCCCGUUCAUCCCUGAGUUGCUCGUGCGUACGAUCCGUUUUCUUUGAGUCGCGUUGUUUGGGAAUGCAGCGCAAAGUAGGUGGUAAAUUCCAUCUAAAGCUAAAUAUUGGUGCGAGACCGAUAGCGAACAAGUACCGUGAGGGAAAGAUGAAAAGAACUUUGAAAAGAGAGUUAAAGAGUACCUGAAACUGCUGAAAG
rnacentral:ncRNA from 1 species